AAAUGACAUAAGAUGUAUUUCAAAGCAAUGCUACCCAAUAUUUCCUCAAUUCUUUCAAGUCACUUGGCCCUGUGUACAGGAAACUUAACAGCUCAUUUCUCGCACGGGCCUGCAUUUUGACUAGUCAGAAUGGUUAUUGAAGAUAUCUAUAAAUGUAUUCCCACUAGUCAGAAUGUUAAUUGAAGAUAUCUCCAAAAUAAGAUCGGUCUCGUUUCAAGAUAUCCAAAACUUAUUUGUAGAUAUCUUAAAAUGACUUUUAACUAGUCGAGAUAUCUCCACUUUAGUUUUUACUAGUCAUAACUCAAGUUCAAGAUGUCUACAAUUGUAUUUUGACUAGUAAUAUCUUAGGUUCAGAUAUCAAAAAAGAUCAUUUAGAUACAUUCAUUAACAAGGAAUUAAAGAUAUAUAAAUAAUCUUUUUUCAGUCUGGAUAUCACGUUUUAGAUUUAGAUUCAGAUAUCUGUAAUAUGAAUCCGGACAGGCUAUUAGAUGUUAAAAGGGCUUGCCAAUGUGCCACUCCUUCUGCCCCUAUUCCCAAGUUACAAGGAAAAAUCUAAGUUUCUAUUCACAGGAAAAAAUUUUUUUUUAAGUUUCUAUUCCUCAGAAGUGACCUGACGCCAGGUAUUUGAACGCGGUUACGCCUCUCAGGCUCAUUGUAUAUAAAACGGUCGCAGGUAGGCUACGUUACCCAUUGACUGCCAGCACCAUACAGGAAACAAUGAAACCGCUAGUCACUCUCGCCCUUGCGUGCGCGCUCUUCUCUGGAGUAUACGCACUGAAUUGUCACGAGUGUAUACCCACUGGCACUGGACCAUGCUCGGAUACUACAAAAACAUGUCCAGCGAGCCAAACCAACUGCGGCAGUGCCACAGCAGCAGUCUACGUAGGUGAGAUAUAACGAUUUAUGAUUUACUGAGUGCUACAAUACAGCUGGAGCAAGGUAGGUAAGUGAAAUUCUGUAAGUGGCACAUGAGUCAUCAGCUGUGGUCACCCAUGGGUGGGGCG